rnacentral:rRNA from 1 species
UACAGAGGGUGCGAGCGUUAAUCGGAAUUACUGGGCGUAAAGCGCGCGUAGGCGGCUUUGCAAGUCAGACGUGAAAUCCCUCGGCUUAACCGGGGAACUGCGUCUGAUACUGGAUGGCUUGAGUUUGGGAGAGGGACGCGGAAUUCCAGGUGUAGCGGUGAAAUGCGUAGAUAUCUGGAGGAACACCGAUGGCGAAGGCAGCCUUCUGGGCCAACACUGACGCUCAUGCACGAAAGCGUGGGGAGCAAACAGG